CCCAGAGGUAUUAAUUGGUGAAUAAUCAACAUUCGCUGUGUAUCAAAGAUCGUUUUUUAUUUGCACCGACCUACGCAGAUGCGUAGGUUUUUUUU
rnacentral:sRNA from 24 species